UAGCGAAGGGGGCUAGCGUUGCUCGGAAUUACUGGGCGUAAAGCGCGCGUAGGUGGUUCGUUAAGUUGGAUCGUGAAAUCCCCGGGCUCAACCUGGGACUGCAUUGUGACUGCAUCGCUGGAGUGCGGCAGAGGGGGAUGGAAUUCCGCGUGUAGCAGUGAAAUGCGUAGAUAUGCGGAGGAACACCGAUGGCGAAGGCA
rnacentral:rRNA from 1 species